rnacentral:rRNA from 1 species
GACGAACGCUGGCGGCGUGCUUAACACAUGCAAGUCGAACGGAAAGACCCUGCUUUUGUUGGUUUCUCGAUUGGCGAACGGGGGAGUGACACGUGAGUAACCUGCCCUUGUCUUUCGGAUAACUUCAGGAAACUGGGGCUAAUACCGGAUAGGAGAUCCUGCUGCAUGGUGUGGGUUGGAAAGUGUCGGCGGUUGGGGCUGGACUCGAGGCUUAUCAGCUUGUUGGUGGGGUAGUGGCGUACCACGGCUUUGACGGGUAGCCGGCCUGAGAGGGUGGACGGCGACAUUGGGCCUGCGAUACGCACCAGACGCGUACGGGAGGCAGUAGGGGGAAACAUGGCACAGCGGGCGGAAGCGUGAUGCAGAGACGCUGGGUGCGGGAUAACGGCCUUCGGGUUGUAAACAGAUUUCGACUGUGCUGAACCGUGCGUGACGGUAAUGGGUAAAGAAGCAACGGCUAACUACGUG